AUUGAACGCUGGCGGCAGGCUUAACACAUGCAAGUCGAGCGGGGACUUCGGUCCUAGCGGCGAACGGGUGAGGAAUGCUUGGGAAUCUGCCUAUUAGUGGGGGAUAACGUUUCGAAAGGAACGCUAAUACCGCAUACGCCCUACGGGGGAAAGGGGGGGAUCUUCGGACCUCUCGCUAUUAGAUGAGCCCAAGUCGGAUUAGCUAGUUGGUGGGGUAAAGGCUCACCAAGGCGACGAUCCGUAGCUGGUCUGAGAGGAUGAUCAGCCACACUGGAACUGAGACACGGUCCAGACUCCUACGGGAGGCAGCAGUGGGGAAUAUUGGACAAUGGGCGAAAGCCUGAUCCAGCCAUGCCGCGUGUGUGAAGAAGGCCUUCGGGUUGUAAAGCACUUUAAGCGAGGAGGAAUGGCUCUGGGUUAAUACCCUUGAGCAGUGACGUUACUCGCAGAAUAAGCACCGGCUAACUCUGUGCCAGCCGCCGCAGUAAAAC
rnacentral:rRNA from 1 species